GUAGUAGUAGCGUAUCACUCUAGCAGCACAGUCCAUCCAGUAGGUAGUAGUAGUGUAUCACUCUAGCAGCACAGUCCAUCCAGUAGGUAGCAGUAGUGUAUCACUCUAGCAGCACAGUCCAUCCAGUAGGUAGUAGUAGUGUCAUACUCUAGCAGCACAGUCCAUCCAGUAGGUAGUAGUAGUGUAUCACUCUAGCAGCACAGUCCAUCCAGUAGGUAGUAGUAGUGUAUCACUCUAGCAGCACAGUCCAUCCAGUAGGUAGUAGUAGUGUCACACUCUAGCAGCACAGUCCAUCCAGUAGGUAGUAGUAGUGUAUCACUCUAGCAGCACAGUCCAUCCAGUAGGUAGUAGUAGUAGUGUUACACUCUAGCAGCACAGUCCAUCCAGUAGGUAGUAGUAGUAGUGUCACACUCUAGCAGCACAGACCAUCCAGUAGGUAGUAGUAGUAGUAGUGUAUCACUCUAGCAGCACCGUCCAUCCAGUAGGUAGUAGUAGUGUAUCACUCUAGCAGCACAGUCCAUCCAGUAGGUAGUAGUAGUGUGUCACACUCUAGCAGCACAGU
rnacentral:lncRNA from 1 species